UACAGAGGGUGCAAGCGUUGUUCGGAAUUAUUGGGCGUAAAGGGCGCGUAGGCGGCUUGCCAAGUCAGGGGUGAAAUCCAGCAGCUUAACUGUUGAAGUGCCUUUGAUACUGGCGAGCUCGAGGGAGGUAGGGGUCUGUGGAACUUCUGGUGGAGCGGUGAAAUGCGUUGAUAUCAGAAGGAACGCCGGUGGCGAAAGCGACGGACUGGACCUCUUCUGACGCUGAGGCGCGAAAGCUAGGGGAGCAAACGGG
rnacentral:rRNA from 1 species